GCGGCCACGGCUCCUCCCCGCCCCGCGCGCCCCGAUUGGCCUGGCCGCGCGCCAGGGCCGAGCCUGCAGCGCCUCCGAUGAUAAGUUGAAGAAAUAAGACAAGUUUCCAAAUAAAUGACAAAGAGCUUGGUAUUUCUGCGGGCAUCAGAAUCACCUGGAGGAGGAGAUGCUACUGCUGGUGGUGGCCCAGAGACCACACGUUGAGAACCACUGCUCUAGAAAACCAUUUGUCUUUGCUGAUGGAGAAACCUGGCUCUAAUAGAAGAGCUUGUAAGUGUCCAGGAAGUCUAGUGAAUUCGACCAUGAAUCCAGACAUGGCCAGUGGCUAAAUCCUGUGGGAAGACACUGUGCUUCUCUCUGACCCAUGAACGUUCUGCUAGUCAAGCUCUCUGUCACAAAGACAAUUUGAAGAGACAGUGUGGAUCUCACAGAAGAUACCAUCAUCACUCUCACCAACGCAGCUGUGGUGAAUAGGACCACUAUUAUUCCUUAGAUCAAAAGGAUAGCACAUUCAACAGCGUCCUCAUGGCAUGCCAGCAAUUUGCAUAGGAUGUUCAUAAUUGAACUUUGAUUAUCUAGUGCUUUGUGGAUGUAUUGUGUAUUAUAGAAAUCUAUUUACAA
rnacentral:lncRNA from 1 species